AUCCUCACUCUUGGGAGCAACCCUUCCAAUUCCUGUGUCUUAGCUACUCUUCCAACUUGGAGGAAAGGCUGAAGCUCUUGGUAAAAAGUAUGAAAAAGCUUCAUCACCAUACGGGAAUCCUCCUGUGAUGGUGAUGAAGCCUUUCCAUACUUUUUACCAAGAGCUUGAGGAAGAACUCAAGAAGCAACAUGAUUUUAACCCCUAUAGCAUUGUACUCGAUGAGUCAAGACUUAUUAGGACUGAUCAGCUCUUCAUUGAUAAGAAAAAAGAGAUGGGUGAUGGUAACUUCUCAAUAGUCUACAAAGGAGAUUCAUUGGUGCCUCCGUGCAUCCAGCUGCAUGUGUAAUAAUUAUGGAGUUGGCGGAUAAAAAAUCGCUUGUGGAUAUCAUAGAAGAUGAAGAUGAAGAUCUUGAUUUGAAACAAAAGAUAAACUUUACUCUGGAUAUUAGUAGAGCAAUAAAGCAUGUACAUGAGGAGGGCAUCAUCUACAUGGACUUGAAGCCUGAAAAUAUUUUAGUUUCCAAUGACAAAGUACACUGAAAUUGGUGGAUUUUGGGAUAGCAGAGGAGAAGAGCUCUGAUAUUACCCUUAAAACUUAUGGAUCUACUUCAACUUGAUGGGAAUCAGCCAGACUGUUUCCUUCCCUUCCAAUUGAUGAGAAACUACAUCAUGAGUCAAAAAUGGGCGUCACAUGAAUGAAGUCACGGAGAAUUGGGGUUACUGUCAUUGGAGUUAGAAGAGAGACACAUGAUCAUACCAGUGAGGGAAGGUUGUCAAUUGGUUUGGUUUUGGUUUUGGUUCUGGUUCGAUCUACAUAUAUUGAUAAGAAACAAUAUGGAGUUCUCGCUGGCCACAAGCUUGGAAAUGAGAGAAAGGAGAAAGAUCGCAACCCAUCUUAUCAAUAUUGUGCCCAUAGAUUCAAACAUACUCCACUUGGCAUCAUACUUCAAUGAAUGUAAUUUCACAUAUAGUUUUAGAAAUUUGAACUGUAUAGUGGACAUCCUAGCACGGAAGGCCACGUCAAGUUCUUGAAACAAGCAUAUCUAUAUCCUCUGAGAUCUCUACUUAUACAUGCUUAUAUUUCAGAGGGCAAAGACUCAAAA